GAGUUUGAUCUUGGCUCAGAUUGAACGCUGGCGGCAUGCCUUACACAUGCAAGUCGAACGGCAGCAUGAUCUAGCUUGCUAGAUUGAUGGCGAGUGGCGAACGGGUGAGUAAUACAUCGGAACGUGCCCUGUAGUGGGGGAUAACUAGUCGAAAGAUUAAGCUAAUACCGCAUACGACCUGAGGGUGAAAGUGGGGGACCGCAAGGCCUCAUGCUAUAGGAGCGGCCGAUGUCUGAUUAGCUAGUUGGUGUGGUUAAAGGCCCACCAAGGCGACGAUCAGUAGCUGGUCUGAGAGGACGAUCAGCCACACUGGGACUGAGACACGGCCCAGACUCCUACGGGAGGCAGCAGUGGGGAAUUUUGGACAAUGGCGAAAGCCUGAUCCAGCAAUGCCGCGUGUGUGAAGAAGGCC
rnacentral:rRNA from 1 species